rnacentral:rRNA from 1 species
GAUGAACGCUGGCGGCGUGCCUAAUACAUGCAAGUCGAGCGAAUGGAUUGAGAGCUUGCUCUUAUGAAGUUAGCGGCGGACGGGUGAGUAACACGUGGGUAACCUGCCCAUAAGACUGGGAUAACUCCGGGAAACCGGGGCUAAUACCGGAUAACAUUUUGAACCGCAUGGUUCGAAAUUGAAAGGCGGCUUCGGCUGUCACUUAUGGAUGGACCCGCGUGGCAUUAGCUAGUUGGUGAGGUAACGACUCACCAAGGCAACGAUGCGUAGCCGAACGGAGAGGGUGAUCGGCAAGACUGGGACUGGGCCACGGGCCAGACUCCUACGGGAGGCAGCAGUAGGGAAUGUUCCGCAAUGGACGAAAGUCUGACGGAGCAACGCCGCGUGAGUGAUGAAGGCUUUCGGGUCGUAAAACUCUGUUGUUAGGGAAGAACAAGUGCUAGUUGAAUAAGCUGGCACCUUGACGGUACCUGACCAGAAAGCCACGGCUAACUACGUGCCAGCCGCCGCGGUAA